rnacentral:rRNA from 1 species
UACGGAGGGAGCAAGCGUUACUCGGAAUUAUUGGGCGUAAAGGGCGCGUAGGCGAUUCAGUAAGUCUUAUGUGAAAGCCCAGAGCUUAACUCUGGAAGUGCACGAGAUACUGGAUGUCUUGAGUGUGAGAGAGGUAUGUGGAACUCCGAGUGUAGAGGUGAAAUUCGUAGAUAUUCGGAAGAACACCAGUGGCGAAGGCGACAUACUGGCUCAUUACUGACGCUGAGGCGCGAAAGCGUGGGGAGCAAACAGG